UACGGAGGGUGCAAGCGUUAUCCGGAUUCACUGGGUUUAAAGGGUGCGUAGGUGGGUUGGUAAGUCAGUGGUGAAAUCUCCGAGCUUAACUUGGAAACUGCCAUUGAUACUAUCAAUCUUGAAUACUGUGGAGGUCAGCGGAAUAUGUCAUGUAGCGGUGAAAUGCUUAGAUAUGACAUAGAACACCAAUUGCGAAGGCAGCUGGCCACACAAAUAUUGACACUGAGGCACGAAAGCGUGGGGAUCAAACAGG
rnacentral:rRNA from 1 species